rnacentral:rRNA from 1 species
CACGUAGGUGGCAUGGUAAGUCAAAGGUGAAAGCCCUCGGCUCAACCGAGGAAUUGCCUUUGAAACUGCUUUGCUUGAGUCCGGGAGGAGGGAGCGGAAUUCCCAGUGUAGCGGUGAAAUGCGUAGAUACUGGGAGGAACACCGGUGGCGAAGGCGGCUCCCUGGACCGGUACUCGACACUGAGGUGCGAAAGCGUGGGUAGCAAACA